GACGAACGCUGGCGGCGCGCCUAACACAUGCAAGUCGAGGGAGAACCGGGCCUUCGGGCCUGGGGAGACCGGCGAACGGGUGAGUAACACGUGAGGAACCUGCCCCGUAGACCGGAAUAACCACGGGAAACUGUGGCUAAUGCCGGAUACUCUCGCGAGCCCGCAUGGGCUCACGAGGAAAUGGUCAGCCGCUACGGGAUGGCCUCGCGGCCUAUCAGCUUGUUGGUGAGGUAACGGCUCACCAAGGCGA
rnacentral:rRNA from 1 species